GAUGAACGCUGGCGGCGUGCCUAAUACAUGCAAGUCGAGCGAACGGACGAGAAGCUUGCUUCUCUGAUGUUAGCGGCGGACGGGUGAGUAACACGUGGAUAACCUACCUAUAAGACUGGGAUAACUUCGGGAAACCGUAGCUAAUACCGGAUAAUAUUUUGAACCGCAUGGUUCAAAGGUAAAGAAGGUCUUGCUGUCACUUAUAGAUGGAUCCGCGCUGCAUUAGCUAGUUGGUAAGGUAACGGCUUACCAAGGCAACGAUGCAUAGCCGACCUGAGAGGGUGAUCGGCCACACUGGAACUGAGACACGGUCCAGACUCCUACGGGAGGCAGCAGUAGGGAAUCUUCCGCAAUGGGCGAAAGCCUGACGGAGCAACGCCGCGUGAGUGAUGAAGGUCUUCGGAUCGUAAAACUCUGUUAUUAGGGAAGAACAUAUGUGUAAGUAACUGUGCACAUCUUGACGGUACCUAAUCAGAAAGCCACGGCUAACUACGUG
rnacentral:rRNA from 1 species